GAUGAACGCUGGCGGCGUGCCUAAUACAUGCAAGUCGAGCGAACGGACGAGAAGCUUGCUUCUCUGAUGUUAGCGGCGGACGGGUGAGUAACACGUGGAUAACCUACCUAUAAGACUGGGAUAACUUCGGGAAACCGUAGCUAAUACCGGAUAAUAUUUUGAACCGCAUGGUUCAAAAGUGAAAGACGGUCUUGCUGUCACUUAUAGAUGGAUCCGCGCUGCAUUAGCUAGUUGGUAAGGUAACGGCUUACCAAGGCAACGAUGCAUAGCCGACCUGAGAGGGUGAUCGGCCACACUGGAACUGAGACACGGUCCAGACUCCUACGGGAGGCAGCAGUAGGGAAUCUUCCGCAAUGGGCGAAAGCCUGACGGAGCAACGCCGCGUGAGUGAUGAAGGUCUUCGGAUCGUAAAACUCUGUUAUUAGGGAAGAACAUAUGUGUAAGUAACUGUGCACAUCUUGACGGUACCUAAUCAGAAAGCCACGGCUAACUACGUGCCAGCAGCCGCGGUAAUACGCAGGUGGCAAGCGUUAUCCGGAAUUAUUGGGCGUAAAGCGCGCGUAGGCGGUUUUUUAAGUCUGAUGUGAAAGCCCACGGCUCAACCGUGGAGGGUCAUUGGAAACUGGAAAACUUGAGUGCAGAAGAGGAAAGUGGAAUUCCAUGUGUAGCGGUGAAAUGCGCAGAGAUAUGGAGGAACACCAGUGGCGAAGGCGACUUUCUGGUCUGUAACUGACGCUGAUGUGCGAAAGCGUGGGGAUCAAACAGGAUUAGAUACCCUGGUAGUCCACGCCGUAAACGAUGAGUGCUAAGUGUUAGGGGGUUUCCGCCCCUUAGUGCUGCAGCUAACGCAUUAAGCACUCCGCCUGGGGAGUACGACCGCAAGGUUGAAACUCAAAGGAAUUGACGGGGACCCGCACAAGCGGUGGAGCAUGUGGUUUAAUUCGAAGCAACGCGAAGAACCUUACCAAAUCUUGACAUCCUUUGACAACUCUAGAGAUAGAGCCUUCCCCCUCGGGGGACAAAGUGACAGGUGGUGCAUGGUUGUCGUCAGCUCGUGUCGUGAGAUGUUGGGUUAAGUCCCGCAACGAGCGCAACCCUUAAGCUUAGUUGCCAUCAUUAAGUUGGGCACUCUAAGUUGACUGCCGGUGACAAACCGGAGGAAGGUGGGGAUGACGUCAAAUCAUCAUGCCCCUUAUGAUUUGGGCUACACACGUGCUACAAUGGACAAUACAAAGGGCAGCGAAACCGCGAGGUCAAGCAAAUCCCAUAAAGUUGUUCUCAGUUCGGAUUGUAGUCUGCAACUCGACUACAUGAAGCUGGAAUCGCUAGUAAUCGUAGAUCAGCAUGCUACGGUGAAUACGUUCCCGGGUCU
rnacentral:rRNA from 1 species